rnacentral:tRNA from 1 species
CCUGGCCGUGGGGUGCAGCUUGGUGGCGCCGCCCACCAGGCCCACGGCCAUGGGCAGUUCGAUGCUGCCGGCCAGGUC